GGGAGGCAGCAGUGGGGAAUAUUGCACAAUGGGCGCAAGCCUGAUGCAGCCAUGCCGCGUGUAUGAAGAAGGCCUUCGGGUUGUAAAGUACUUUCAGCGGGGAGGAAGGGAGUGAGGUUAAUAACCUUAUUCAUUGACGUUACCCGCAGAAGAAGCACCGGCUAACUCCGUGCCAGCAGCCGCGGUAAUACGGAGGGUGCAAGCGUUAAUCGGAAUUACUGGGCGUAAAGCGCACGCAGGCGGUCUGUCAAGUCG
rnacentral:rRNA from 1 species